rnacentral:lncRNA from 1 species
GAUCUAGAAUAAGGAUUCAUUCUUCAGACAACUCCUGCUCAUGGUUUCCCCCUAUCUUUACAAAAUCGAUCUCAGUUCACCAGCUUUCUAUCAAGAAAAGACAUUGUGCUCAAGGGCUGGAGGUGAUAAAGUCCAAUGUGAGUUUCUUAAAUGGCAAAUUGCUAGCCAGGAUGAACACACAAAGGCUUCAGCUUUUAUGUACAGCCUAAAAGCCCCAGGGCCCCUGUUCCCCCUGAGCACCCAAGAGCAGCUUCUGAACACUGCAAUGCGCUGGCUGGAGGCCUCUGGAGAAGAGGAGGCCAGACCUGUGAAUUAUGGCAAAUUCUACUGCACCCUGACUUCAGCAACCUCCUAAAUCAGAAAAGGGGGCAUUAAAAA